rnacentral:rRNA from 1 species
UUGCUUUCUGUCUCGUUGGUGACCAGCGGAGGGAUCAUUACCGAGUUUACAACUCCCAAACCCCUGUGAACAUACCUAUAAUUUGCCUCGGCAGACUCAACGACGGUGCUCCGAGAAAUCGGGCGCCGCUCGCUGCCAGAGGAACCCCAAACUCUAUGUAUUCUUGUGGAUCUUCUGAGUAAAACAAAACAAAUAAAUCAAAACUUUCAACAACGGAUCUCUUGGUUCUGGCAUCGAUGAAGAACGCAGCGAAAUGCGAUAAGUAAUGUGAAUUGCAGAAUUCAGUGAAUCAUCGAAUCUUUGAACGCACAUUGCGCCCGCCAGUAUUCUGGCGGGCAUGCCUGUUCGAGCGUCAUUUCAACCCUCAAGCCCUAGGGCUUGGUGUUGGGGAUCGGCGAUAGUCGCCGUCCCCCAAAUCUAGUGGCGGUCUCGCUGUAGCCUCCAUUGCGUAGUAGCUAACACCUCGCAACUGGAACGCGGCGCGGCCAAGCCGUUAAACCCCCCAACUUCUGAAUGUUGACCUCGGAUCAGGUAGGAAUACCCGCUGAACUUAAGCAUAUCAAUAGCCGGAGGAA